ACGGAAGGCAGCAGUGGGGAAUAUUGCGCAAUGGGGGGGAACCCUGACGCAGCAACGCCGCGUGAGUGAGGAAGUAUUUCGGUAUGUAAAGCUCUAUCAACGGGGACGAUAAUGACGGUACCCGAGUAAGAAGUCCCGGCUAACUACGUGCCAGCAGCCGCGGUAAUACGUAGGGGACAAGCGUUAUCCGGAUUUACUGGGUGUAAAGGGUGCGUAGGCGGCAAAGCAAGUCAGAAGUGAAAGCCCGCGGCUCAACUGCGGGACUGCUUUUGAAACUGUUUAGCUAGAGUACUGGAGGGGCAAGCGGAAUUCCUGGUGUAGCGGUGAAAUGCGUAGAUAUUAGGAGGAACACCAGUGGCGAAGGCGGCUUACUGGACGAUAACUGACGUUGAGGCUCGAAAGCGGGGGGAGCAAACAGGAUUAGAUACCCUGGUA
rnacentral:rRNA from 1 species